rnacentral:tRNA from 1 species
UCCCUGGAGGACUAGUGGUUAGGCCUCAGUGCUCUCACCGCCGAGUUCUGGGCUCAAUUCCCGACCAGGGAA